rnacentral:tRNA from 1 species
GGGGUUGUGGCUCAGUGGUAGAGUGUUCACCAACCACGUGUGAGGCCCUGGGUUCAAUCCUCAGCACCACA